UAGGGAAUCUUCGGCAAUGGACGGAAGUCUGACCGAGCAACUCCGCGUGAGUGAAGAAGGUUUUCGGAUCGUAAAGCUCUGUUGUUAGAGAAGAACGUUGGUAGGAGUGGAAAAUCUACCAAGUGACGGUAACUAACCAGAAAGGGACGGCUAACUACGUGCCAGCAGCCGCGGUAAUACGUAGGUCCCGAGCGUUGUCCGGGUUUAUUGGGCGUAAAGCGAGCGCAGGCGGUUCUUUAAGUCUGAAGUUAAAGGCAGUGGCUUAACCAUUGUACGCUUUGGAAACUGGAGGACUGGAGUGGAGAAGGGGAGGGUGGAAUUCCAUGUGUAGAGGUGAAAGGCGUAGAUAUAUGGAGGAACACCGGUGGCGAAAGCGGCUCUCUGGUCUGUAACUGACGCUGAGGCUCGAAAGCGUGGGGAGCAAACAGG
rnacentral:rRNA from 1 species